GUACCCACAGAGGAAGCACCGGCUAACUCCGUGCCAGCAGCCGCGGUAAUACGGAGGGUGCAAGCGUUGUCCGGAAUCAUUGGGCGUAAAGAGUUCGUAGGUGGCAUGUAAAGUCUGGUGUUAAAGGCAGAAGCUCAACUUCUGUAGGGCACUGGAUACUUGCAAGCUGGAAUGCGGUAGAGGUAAAGGGAAUUCCUGGUGUAGCGGUGAAAUGCGUAGAUAUCACGAAGAACUCCGAUUGCGAAGGCAGCUUACUAACCUGUAACUGACAUUGAUGCUCGAAAGUGUGGGUAUCAAACAGGAUUAGAUACCCUGGUAGUCCACACGGUAAACGAUGAAUACUCGCUGUAGGCGAUAUACGGUCUGCGGCCAAGCGAAAGCAUUAAGUAUUCCACCUGGGGAGUACGCCGGCAACGGUGAAACUCAAAGGAAUUGACGGGGGCCCGCACAAGCGGAGGAACAUGUGGUUUAAUUCGAUGAUACGCGAGGAACCUUACCCGGGCUUAAAUUGCAACCGAAUAUGGCGGAAACGCCAUAGCUAGCAAUAGCGGUUGUGAAGGUGCUGCAUGGUUGUCGUCAGCUCGUGCCGUGAGGUGUCGGCUUAAGUGCCAUAACGAGCGCAACCCUUGCCGAUAGUUACUAACAGGUUAUGCUGAGGACUCUGUCGGGACUGCCAUCGUAAGAUGUGAGGAAGGUGGGGAUGACGUCAAAUCAGCACGGCCCUUACGUCCGGGGCUACACACGUGUUACAAUGGGGGGUACAGAGGGCUGCUACCACGCAAGUGGAUGCCAAUCCCAAAAACCUCUCUCAGUUCGGAUUGAAGUCUGCAACCCGACUUCAUGAAGCUGGAUUCGCUAGUAAUCGCGCAUCAGCCACGGCGCGGUGAAUACGUUCCCGGGCCUUGCACACACCGCCCGUCAAG
rnacentral:rRNA from 1 species